AUGGUCUUUUCUUUGGAUGAAGGAAGUGGAGUUAUAUUCUCUCCAUUGAUAGAGGUUAUUGGGAAGGAGGAUGACGCUGGUAGUGGCGUGGUCCUUUCAUUUUUAGCAGUGAUAUCAAUGGAGACUGGUGGAGGUUUGUUCUUCUCAUCACUGGAGCCUAAUGAAGCAGAGAUUGUCUCAGUGGUUGAAGCUAGUGGAGGUGCAGCAUUUUCUUUAGUUGGGGAUUUUGCAGGUGUGGUCUUGUCAUUAGUUGAAGCUGGUGAAGGUUUGGUCUUUUCAUUAGUUGUCUCAUUGGUUGAGGCUGGUGGAGGCAUAGUCUCUUCAUUAUUUGUCUUUCUACUAGCUGAGUCUAAUGAAGACGUAGUCUUUUCAUUAGUUGAAGCUGGUGGAGUUGUAGUCAUUUCAUUAGUUAAGUCUGAUGGAGGUGUGGUCUUGUCAUCACCUGAGCCUAAUGUAGUGGAGGUAGACUCAACGGUUGAUGAUGCAGAAUGUGUGGUCUUUUCAUUACCUAAGCCAGGCAAAGCAGAGAUUGUCUCGUUAUUUGAGGCUGGUGGAGGCUUCUUCUUUUUAUUAGAUGAGGCUGGUGAUUGUGCGAGCUUUUCAUCAGUUGAUGCUAGUAGAUACAUAUCUUUUUCAUCAGUUGUCUUUCUAUCAGCUGAGUCUGAAGGAGGUGUUGUCUUUGCAUUAGUUGAGACUGGUAAACUGGAGAUGACCUCAUUAGUUGAGGCAGGCAGAGGUUUGUUCUCGUCAUCACUGGAGCCUAAUGAAGCAGAGAUUGUCUCAGUUGUUGUUGCUGGUGGAGGUGUAGUCUUUCCUUUAGCUGAGACAUGUAAAGUGGAGGUUUUCUCGUUGGUUGAGGCUUGUGGGGAGGUGGUCUUUUCGAUAGUCGUCCUUUUGUUAGCUGACUCUGAUGGAGUUUUGUUCUUUUCAUUAGUUGAGGCAGGCAGAGUUUUGUUCUUGUCAUCAGUGGAGCCUAAUGAAGCAGAGAUUGUCUCAGUUGUUGUUCCUGGUGGAGGUGUAGUCUUUCCUUCAGUUGAGGCAGGUAAAGUGGAGGUUUUCUCAUUGGUUGAGGCUUGUGGGGUCUUUUCGAUAGUUGUUGGUUUUUCAGGUGUGGUUGUUGCAUUGGGUGAGGCUGCUGGGGGAGUAGGUGUAGUCUUUCCUUCAGUUGAGGCAGGUAAAGUGGAGGUUUUCUCAUUGGUUGAGGCUUGUGGGGUCUUUUCGAUAGUUGUUGGUUUUUCAGGUGUGGUUGUUGCAUUGGGUGAGGCUGCUGGGGGAGUGGUCUUUUCAUUAGUUGUUUUUUUAUUAGCUGAGUUUGAUAGAGUUGUGUUGUUGUUAUCACUUGAGGCUGGUAAACUGAAGGCCGUAUCAUCUGUUGAGGCUGGUUUAGCGGUAAACUUUUUACUGACCUGGCCAGACUGCUCGGUGGAUGCUUCAGUGGCUUCGGAUGAAAAUGAGCUCAGAGAUAGACUUUCAUUAUUGGAUGGUAUUUCAGGUAAGGUAUUUCCAAGUAUUUCUUCUCCAGACUGCUUAAGACUGUCAGAUAACUGAUCUCCUGUCUCUACAGAGUGUAUAUCGCCAUUCACUUUGGAUGUCGUUUCUGUGCUGGUGAUUUUACUCUUGGUUUCUUUGGUGCCUCCCUUUUUAGUUUCAGUGCCAGGCUUUUGUUGUUGCAAAUCCCUUUUACUAGAUACCGUCUGUGUCUUCUGUUCUUCUCCGCUCUCUGAUUGGCUCUGUGGGGGCGGCCCAUCUCUUUUGGGACCGCCUCCCUCUGUAGGUGCAAUUUGAGGUGAAAUUAUGCUGUCCAUUUGGUCAUUUUGGUCCAGUGCAGGGUUUGGUGUUGCCGGUGUCUUGCUUGUAGAAGUGGUGUUUUCUUUAGUCUGAUCGGACAAUUCAGCGCAAGAGUUUUUCUCAGUAGUCUGAGUUUCUUUGCCUUGACUGGUUGCCAUAAUUGUUGUGUCUUCCUGUCUCACAGCAGAGGUGUCCUUUGAUUUACCUUGUUUUGAUUUACCUUCUACUUUCUGCUCGGUUGGCUUUGAUGUAUUGACUUCAUUAUGUUUGUGUGUCUCAGUUGUUUCUGUAACAAGGUCGUAUUUCUGGUUCUGACUGGUAAUCUCAGUCAAACAGUCUUUUUCUUGACUCUUUUGGUUAAUCUUUGACAGUCUUUGUGCCGAUUUUGAGUUAUUUUCAGGGGUGUUUUCCGCUUUAGACACAAACGCAGUGGUGUCUUUCUCAGGUAAGACCAGCGUAUCCGUCUCACUCCCUCUGUUUCGCAUGGCAUCAUUCCUAAAGGGUGCAGCGCUGCUAUUGGCUGGCUCAGAGGAGUCUUUAGAUCUGGCCUCCUUCAGGUCAUCUGGGGACGGUGGUUUUUCAUGUUUUGUCACAGAUGGAUCUGGUUUCCCUGACUCUCCAAACAAUGAGUUUACAAUCAAGUCUCUGUUCCUCUGCUCGUCUCCCUGCUCUCCUUCUGAGCACUGCUUUUUGUUGCUGUUUUUUUGUUUCUCUUUCAUUUUUGAGUCGAUGUCGGUCCGUAUCUUCUCUUUAUUUGAGCUGUUCUUUCUGGAUAUAGAAGGAUGUGUAUCAGAAGCCACUAUCUGUGCUUCAAAGUCACCGCUAUUCCCUCUCUCCUCAUCCUUGCUUUUCACUUCUGUAGGAACUUUUGUGUCAGCAUGUGAAGUCUUCUUUGAGUCAGAUUUUUUCUUUGUGCUUUGCAUAAUUUCUGCUGCUUUCUCCAACUUCGGAGGAACUGUAGGUUUUUUGCUUGCGACCUCCCCAGCAGAGUUGGGUCUUUCUUUAUUAGAAGUGCUCGGCUCUGUGGUCUUUACCACGUCUCUUGCAUCUACAAGAGGUUUGUCCUUGUUGUCCUUGACCUCCUGUUUACCUUGACCCAUUUCUUGUUUAGUGGGGCUCAGCAGAUCUUUGCCUCGACGUUUUUUCGAUCGCGUGCCUGUCCGGUUUGGUGAUUUCACCUGCGGUGUCUCAUCAGUAGGUGAUGAAACCGUCGGGAGAGAAUCUGCCUCUUUAUUCCCAAUGUUUGAGUCACUUGUGCUCUCUAACAAUGCAGGUGUUGCAUUGUAGGAUUUAGAGUCUGUUUGAUCUAUAGUUAAAUGAGGUUUGGAUUUAACCUUUGGCUCUCCGCUGGUAUCCGUCUUUGCUGUAGAUUUUUCAAAACGUCCAGAAUAAGAUAUUUCAGCCGUUUUUGAAUGUCCUUCGUUCAACGUACGACCAGACGGCAACGUCAGCUUCUGUUCCCCCCUUCGCCCCGCGCUGAGAUUCUUCGCCCUCUCUUUAACCGUUUGGUUUGGAGGUGCAGAACUGGACCGCGUUCCGGCAUGUUCUGUGAAAUCUCUGAGACGACUGGCCACAUUUCGAGCUGGAGAAAUAUCCAGGCGAAGCAGGUUUGUGGAGCUACUAACUGCACUGGUGGCUCCUCUCUCGAACAGACUGAUUUUGUC
rnacentral:lncRNA from 1 species